ensembl:lncRNA
AUGCACAUGGGUCACACAUGUGCCGUCACUUUCAAGAUGGAGAGAGCGAAAUCCAUUACAGGUCCAAAGCAUGUGUGCCUUCAUUGUAGAUCACUGUUCUUUUCUUCCCUUGGGAACCACCCCAUCCCCAACCCCCUUUUUUUUCUUUUCUCUUUACUUUUAGGUGACCCUGGUUAUUUCACAUAUGUACAUCACAACAUACAUGUAACUCCUGGAUUAGUCCUGUGAAAUGAACAACACUGUGAAAUGCAUUUGGCAGCAAAUCUUUCCAGGCACCCAUCAUCCUCUUUGAUCCACUAGCUGCAUGUUGUUUUCCCUUUGGAGGCUUAAACAGAUUCAGUAUUUUACUCCAUUAAACUCCAGAUGUUUCACAUGGCCUUCAAAAUAACAUCUAACUUACUGAUUUUAAAGCUUUUAGUUGUUCUUUUCCUCUUUACAUUAUACUCUCUGAUUUUCUUUUGACCUUAUCAAAUUUCUGAAGCAGCGGCAUAUUGUGUCACAUGACUUCCCAGCAAUGGAUGUUUCAGAGACUAUACUGUAGCACACCGAUGACCUUUGGAGCAAAUAUUCCAUUCAUCUUGGAAACUUGGCAACCUCAUUAAUCUGUUUUCAGGGAUUUACUUUAUUACCACACUGAGCAAUAUGUGCUCAUGCUGUGGUGGUUGUGGUAACUACAUAAUAAACCCUUUUUUCUUUUUUCCUUUUUUUAAAUCUGAGCUGCAUCUAAAUCGGCCACUAGCUCAUUAUUUACUAUAUAGUGAAUGGCACAUAAUGCACUAUAUGUGAAAAAGAGAAACAACGAGUGAGCAACUUCAGAUGCUGAUAUAAUCACCGCGUGCCAGAGUGUCGAAAUAACUUUUUUACACCUUGUAAAAUAAUAUUGUUGAUGAUAAUAACUUUACUAAAAAAACUACACAUACAAUUUUUUUCAGUUUUUUAUUAUUUAACAUAUAUUUAGAAGAAAAAAAUUUGUUUACAUGUUCUCAUAUUUCAUGUCAUAUUUAAUAGAUUUUUAAUUCAUUAUAAUAAAAUAAUAGUCUACCAACCAUGUGAAUAAGUGAUUGUUCAUCAUUCCAUGGUUCAACUACAGGUAAUCUUUAUACGAUAAAUCAGACUGCAUUUUGAGUUCAAAAAAAAGAUUGAAUUGUAUAAUUUGGACAACACUACAGAAUGGCCAGCUCUAAUAUAGUGCACCUAUAUAGGGAAUAGGGAGUGGUUUUGAUUGCGUCUGUCUCCUCAUGUAAUUGUGGUGGUGCUUGAGUUAGUCAGUGCACAUGUACUCUCCGGACAGCCAGGACUUUGAAUAUUGUCUCUGUGAUGCAGGAAGUCCAUUAAACGUGCCUUUAUGCCGCUAAGCCUAUGGAGUCUGGGGCACUGGCCCACCUUUUCCCCAAGGCUCUGUGCAUUUGGCAUCACUCAGAAAUUUUGUUUUGGGCCCCCUGAAUUUAAGCAAGCUACACUUCAACCUGGCAGCAGCUACAUCUGCUCAUCUAUCUUCCCCGUCUCUUCCUUUAAAAGGUCCACCCCAAGUCUAAAGAUUUCUCAGCCUUUUCCUCAAACCUGAAUGUACUUAAAAGCAGAAACACAACCACAGAUUUACCAUAUACCUGUCUGUACAGCCUUAAGAAGGUCUUUUUCAAGAUUCUUCAAGAAAACCCUUCUGUUUUUCCUCAAGAAUGUGUGUGAGGACUUGCAUGACAAAUAUGCUUUAUCUUCUGUGGUCAUUUUGACCUAAAAACACAUUCUUAACAUUGAAUGAAAAAAAGGAAAUUCUCUAUUUUUUUAAUUAUACAUUUAUGUUUCUACUCCAAACCGUUGUGUAGAUAUAAUGAUUUAAAUGGCUGUCAUAUAUUAUUAUUAUUAUUAUUUUUUUUAUUCACAAAAUGGCCUCUAAUGAUUCCAAACUUUGUUUUUUUUUUUGUUUUGUUUUUUUAACAGAGCUAUAAUUUAAGCAUCAGCAACAGGUUAAGUAAAACAUGUUAUGUAUUUAUGAUAUGGUGAAUACAGUAUAUUUCACAAUAUAUUUAUGAUUUUAGCAAUAUGCUCUUCUCUAAAGUUUUUAGCAGAUCCAUCUUUUCACAGUUUUGACAAAGUCAAAGUCAUUUGGAAAUGAUUAAGUAACCAAGACUGUCCUUACAAAACUGAUUAUGCACUGACUGCAGCACAUCUGUAGGGGUGAAUGGUAUAUCAUU